rnacentral:tRNA from 1 species
CGGUAGCUCAGUGGAUAGAGCGUCCGCCUCCUAAGCGGAGGGUCGCAGGUUCGAUUCCUGCCCGGG